UACGGAGGGUGCAAGCGUUAUCCGGAUUUAUUGGGUUUAAAGGGUGCGUAGGCGGUUUGAUAAGUCAGCGGUGAAAUAUUUCAGCUUAACUGGAAGGGUGCCGUUGAUACUGUCAGGCUUGAAUUUAGUUGCUGUGGGUGGAAUGUGUGGUGUAGCGGUGAAAUGCAUAGAUAUCACACAGAAUAUCGAUUGCGAAGGCAGCUCACAAAGCUAACAUUGACGCUGAUGCACGAAAGUGUGGGGAUCAAAC
rnacentral:rRNA from 1 species